GCUAGCGACAGGCCUAACACAUGCAAGUCGAGGGCAGCACUUCGGGUGGCGACCGGCGCACGGGUGAGUAACGCGUAUGUAACCUGCCCUCAGGUGGGGGAUAGCCCAUCGAAAGAUGGAUUAAUACCGCAUGACGUCGAACGACAGCAUUAGAUUUCGACCAAAGAUUCAUUGCCUGGGGAUGGACAUGCGUCCUAUUAGCUAGUUGGCGGGGCAACGGCCCACCAAGGCGACGAUAGGUAGGGGUUCUGAGAGGAAGGUCCCCCACAUUGGUACUGAGACACGGACCAAACUCCUACGGGAGGCAGCAGUGAGGAAUAUUGGUCAAUGGGCGGAAGCCUGAACCAGCCAAGUCGCGUGAAGGAGGACGGCCCUAUGGGUUGUAAACUUCUUUAGCAGCAGAGUAAUAAGGGGGUCGCGACCCCCGAUGCAAGUAUGCUGAGAAUAAGGAUCGGCUAACUCCGUGCCAGCAGCCGCGGUAAUACGGAGGAUCCGAGCGUUAUCCGGAUUUAUUGGGUUUAAAGGGUGCGCAGGCGGCUUGUUAAGUCAGCGGUCAAAUCGCGGGGCUCAACCCCGCUCCGCCGUUGAUACUGGCGAGCUUGAUUGUGGUCGAGGUUGGCGGAAUUCGUCGUGUAGCGGUGAAAUGCAUAGAUAUGACGAAGAACCCCGAUUGCGUAGGCAGCUGACCAGGCCACAAAUGACGCUCAGGCACGAAAGUGCGGGGAUCGAACAGGAUUAGAUACCCUGGUAGUCCGCACAGUAAACGAUGAAUACUUGUUUUGGGCGAUAGAAUGUCCGAGGCAAAGCGAAAGCGAUAAGUAUUCCACCUGGGGAGUACGCCGGCAACGGUGAAACUCAAAGGAAUUGACGGGGGCCCGCACAAGCGGAGGAACAUGUGGUCUAAUUCGAUGCUACGCGAGGAACCUUACCCGGGCUUGAAAGUUAUCGACUGGGGCUGAAAGGCCCCU
rnacentral:rRNA from 1 species